AGCAGACUGGGCAGCCGCGCGCCUGUGGAAGAGCUUUUCCCAGGCGUGAGGAAAGUCCGGGCCCCACAGAGCAAGGAUAACGGCUAACGGCCGCCGAGGGUGACCUCAGGGAAAGUGCAACAGAGAGAUACCGCCGGCACCCUGUGCCGGUAAGGGUGGAAAGGCGAGGUAAGAGCUCACCAGCACGCGGGAGACCGCGUGGCUCUGCAAACCCUAUCCGGAGCAACACCGACUGGAGAGACACGCUUGCUCGGCGCAUUCUCCGACGGGUGGCUUGAGCGCCGCGGCAACGCGGCGUCGAGACAGAUGGCUGCCUUUAAGGACAGAACCCGGCUUAGAGGUCUGGUCG
rnacentral:RNase_P_RNA from 1 species